AUCCUUUUCUGGUUUAUAAGCAUGAUGAUUGGGGGUGUUCACACAUUUGUGUAACAUGUGUCUCCCUUAAGAUCUGUUAUGCAUUUGACACAUUACCCAUCUGAUG
ensembl:snoRNA